GGCCGAGGCAGCCACCUGGGUUGGGUGGGGAGAGAUGGGCCCCAUAUCUUCCCAUAGCACAAGCAACGGGGCUGUGGCAAAACCUGAAGGGAAGAUGAGAAAUACCUGCAAUUUCACUGCGCGGGGCCUUGCACGGUCUCUGGGCCAUGGUGAGGAGCAGGUGUAGCUUAGUUUAAUAGAACUCUUGCUGUGUACUGUGGUGGAAACAUUCUGCAUCUGGAAAACAUGACCUCUAGAAACUCGGAGUCUAGAAUUAUGGGGACAGGAAGCGUGAAUUUCCUGAAUGGUUCACUGGGAGUAAUGGUCAUAAAAUCCUCACGUAAGGGGUGCUCUCCCUAUGCCUGGAGGAAAGGAACACCCUUAUGUAAGCCCCAAGAAGAAUCUGAACCAAGAGUCCUUGCUGGAUUGCCCCAGUUCACUACAAUGACUUCAGACUCCUCAACUUAUUCCUCCACAACUGCCCACUCUUCAUCAAAUGUUGUAUAAAAUACUCAGGUCUGUUUCUUUGAGUUUUCAUUCCCUUGUGAAGGCUCCUAUGGCACAUAAAACUUACAUUAAAUAAAUCUGUAGGAUUUUCUCCUGUUGAUCUCUCUUUGCCAGUUUAAUUUUCAGACUCAGCUAGGGACUCUGAGAGGGUCAGGGAAAGCAUUCCCUCACCUACACUCUGUUGUAGGUGCACAAGGGUGAGAAUUCCAGGCUAUAGCUGGAGCUUGCAAAUUACCAUGAUGGGCAGCUAUGGGUUUUAGCUGUAAAUCUUAGGCAGAGGAUGCAGAGUGCCAGAAUAGGAGCACA